GACAGAGGGUGCAAACGUUGUUCGGAUUUACUGGGCGUAAAGCGCGUGUAGGCGGCUUUGCAAGUCGGAUGUGAAAGCCCCGAGCUCAACUUGGGAAUGGCAUUGGAAACUGGCGGGCUGGAGUGUGGCAGAGGGGGGUGGAAUUCCACGUGUAGCAGUGAAAUGCGUAGAGAUGUGGAGGAACACCGAUGGCGAAGGCAGCCCCCUGGGCCAACACUGACGCCUCAGGCACGAAAGCGUGGGGAGCAAACAGG
rnacentral:rRNA from 1 species